UGCCAGCUGUGAUGAUAAUGACAUAUGUCAUGUUCCUGAAUAAAAGUGAUGCUUUUAAGUCACUACCUCAUCUGAGCUUGUG
rnacentral:snoRNA from 1 species